rnacentral:rRNA from 1 species
GACAGAGGUCCCGAGCGUUAGGCGGAAUCACUGGGCUUAAAGCGUGUGUAGGCGGCGGCCUAAGUACCUUGUGAAAUCCCACGGCUCACCCGUGGAACUGCUCGGUAUACUGGGUCGCUUGAGCCACUUAGGGGCUACCGGAACAAAUGGUGGAGCGGUGAAAUGCGUAGAUAUCAUUUGGAACGCCAAUGGUGAAAACAGGUAGCUGGGAGUGUGCUGACGCUGAGACACGAAAGCCAGGGGAGCGAACGGGG